CACGGUAAAAUAAUAGGCUAACUAUAAAAAAAAGACAAAGAACAUGGCGAUUUUGUUCGAGCAGAAGAUAACAUCUGUUCUUUGCAGACUAUCUGAGGCAAAUGAAAGCGAGAAACCAUAAUCCUUCCUGAUGUUUGAGUUCUUCUGGUAACGUAGGCUAGCAAUGUCAGAAAGAGGUGGUGAACGCAGUCACAGACUCCGCUGAAGUUUCUGACAGUUUUCUAAAAAGUUCGUCCACGAAAGCAACAGCUGGGAGCUUGCAGUACAUUUGGUUUUUUGUGAUUGGACGAGGCAGAUUGCUGAGAAUUCCCCCAGCAGGCAGUUGACAUCUAAGGCAAAUAAACGUUGUGGAAGUUGUGCCUGAAAAGACUGUAAAUGCACACACUCUACACACACACACGCACACACACUGUGCUCUUACAUAACUGCUUUUUGAGCUGCCUCUCUUAAAGUGUCUCAGAGGAGCAUGCCGUAUCUGUAGUACACAAACUGAUCACAGCUGAGGGGCCGCCCGCCACACAGUGCUGUCCUUACGUCACCCUGGCUGGCAUCCAGAUUAGGUCAGAUUGCACUGAAUGAAACCUUUCAUCAGACAUUUCGUCUGAUAAUCUGGUAUGUGGGACCUGUAUCUCAACCAGCAACUGAGCAAGUGGUGGUAACAUCUGACUAGCUGUUUACUUUCAACUUAGUUCUGUACUACCCACUUACCUCUCUUACAACUGCUGUAAAACACACACACACCACUCAUAUUUUGACUUUUCUAGUUUCUAGUUGAGCAAAAAAGUCACAAGGUGGCUUCAAGUCACAAGUCCACAGGUGGCUAGUCCUCCUGCACACACACACAUGACAAAGAGAAAGGUAAGUGGUAGAUUGGCAGGUGGGGAGUUGCAUCUCCUAAUCUGUGCCUGCAUGUGAAGAUUAUUUUCAGUUGGUCUGUGUUGUAUCUUUGUAUUAUUUAUAAUGUGUGUAUCAUUUUAUGAUGUGUGUAUUUGGGGGCUAAUCUGAUGUCGAUGUGAGCAUCCCUGAGCCAAUAAAAAAAGCAUUUCAAUGACA